rnacentral:rRNA from 1 species
AACGAACGCUGGCGGCAGGCUUCAUACAUGCAAGUCGCGCGAUUAAGCCUCCUUCGGGAGGGCAUAAAGCGGCGAACGGGUGAGUAACAGGUGGAUAAUCUGCCUUUUGGCGGGGGAUAACGGCUGGAAACGGCCGCUAAUACCGCAUGUGGUUGCGGGGACUAUGGUUCCUGCAAAGAAAGGGGCUGCAAGGCCCCACCAAAAGAUGAGUCCGCCCCCCAUUAGCUAGUUGGCGGGAUAAUAGCCCACCAAGGCGAUGAUGGGUAGCCGAGCUGAGAGGUUGAUCGGCCACACUGGAACUGAGACACGGUCCAGACACCUACGGGAGGCAG